UCUAAUGUGACAGAAUUAAUGUUAUGAAUUUAAAAUUCAUUUAUAAAUACUUGUAUUUCUUUAGAA
rnacentral:tRNA from 1 species